rnacentral:rRNA from 1 species
AACGAACGCUGGCGGCAGGCCUAACACAUGCAAGUCGAACGCUGUAGCAAUACAGAGUGGCAGACGGGUGAGUAACGCGUGGGAACCUUCCCAGUGGUACGGAAUAGCUCAGGGAAACUUGAGGUAAUACCGUAUAAGCCCCUAGGGGGAAAGAUUUAUCGCCAUUGGAUGGGCCCGCGUCGGAUUAGCUAGUUGGUAGGGUAAUGGCCUACCAAGGCGACGAUCCGUAGCUGGUCUGAGAGGAUGAUCAGCCACACUGGGACUGAGACACGGCCCAGACUCCUACGGGAGGCAGCAGUGGGGAAUAUUGGACAAUGGGCGCAAGCCUGAUCCAGCCAUGCCGCGUGAGUGACGAAGGCCUUAGGGUUGUAAAGCUCUUUUGGCGGGGACGAUAAUGACGGUACCCGCAGAAUAAGCUCCGGCUAACUUCGUGCCAGCCGCCGCCGUAAUAC